AACGAACGCUGGCGGCAGGCUUAACACAUGCAAGUCGAACGGGUGUAGCAAUACAUCAGUGGCAGACGGGUGAGUAACACGUGGGAACCUUCCUAGAGGUACGGAACAACUCAGGGAAACUUGAGCUAAUACCGUAUACGCUCUUGCGAGGAAAGAUUUAUCGCCUUUAGACGGGCCCGCGUCGGAUUAGCUAGUUGGUGGGGUAACGGCCUACCAAGGCGACGAUCCGUAGCUGAUCUGAGAGGAUGAUCAGCCACACUGGGACUGAGACACGGCCCAGACUCCUACGGGAGGCAGCAGUGGGGAAUCUUGGACAAUGGGCGCAAGCCUGAUCCAGCCAUGCCGCGUGAGUGAAGAAGGCCUUCGGGUUGUAAAGCUCUUUUGUCAGGGACGAUAAUGACGGUACCUGAAGAAUAAGCCCCGGCAAACUUCGUGCCAGCAGCCGCCGUAAAAC
rnacentral:rRNA from 1 species